UGGGGUAGAGCUCAGUGGUAGAGUGUGUAUUUAGCAUGCAUGAAGUCCUUGGGUUCAAUCCCCAGUACCUCCA
rnacentral:tRNA from 1 species